rnacentral:rRNA from 1 species
UAGGGGGCGAGCGUUAUCCGGAUUUACUGGGUGUAAAGGGAGCGUAGACGGCAUGGCAAGUCUGGAGUGAAAGCCCGGGGCCCAACCCCGGGACUGCUCUGGAAACUGUCAGGCUAGAGUGCUGGAGAGGUAAGUGGAAUUCCUAGUGUAGCGGUGAAAUGCGUAGAUAUUAGGAGGAACACCAGUGGCGAAGGCGGCUUACUGGACAGUGACUGACGUUGAGGCUCGAAAGCGUGGGGAGCAAA